rnacentral:rRNA from 1 species
GAUGAACGCUGGCGGCGUGCCUAAUACAUGCAAGUCGAGCGAACGGACGAGAAGCUUGCUUCUCUGAUGUUAGCGGCGGACGGGUGAGUAACACGUGGAUAACCUACCUAUAAGACUGGGAUAACUUCGGGAAACCGUAGCUAAUACCGGAUAAUAUUUUGAACCGCAUGGUUCAAAAGUGAAAGACGGUCUAGCUGUCACUUAUAGAUGGAUCCGCGCUGCAUUAGCUAGUUGGUAAGGUAACGGCUUACCAAGGCAACGAUGCAUAGCCGACCUGAGAGGGUGAUCGGCCACACUGGAACUGAGACACGGUCCAGACUCCUACGGGAGGCAGCAGUAGGGAAUCUUCCGCAAUGGGCGAAAGCCUGACGGAGCAACGCCGCGUGAGUGAUGAAGGUCUUCGGAUCGUAAAACUCUGUUAUUAGGGAAGAACAUAUGUGUAAGUAACUGUGCACAUCUUGACGGUACCUAGUCAGAAAGCCACGGCUAACUACGUGCCAGCAGCCGCGGUAAUACGUAAGUGGCAAGCGUUAUCCGGAAUUAUUGGGCGUAAAGCGCGCGUAGGCGGUUUUUUAGUCUGAUGUGAAAGCCCACGGCUCAACCGUGGAGGGUCAUUGGAAACUGGAAAACUUGGGUGCAGAAGAGGAAAGUGGAAUUCCAUGUGUAGCGGUGAAAUGCGCAGAGAUAUGGAGGAACACCAGUGGCGAAGGCGACUUUCUGGUCUGUAACUGACGCUGAUGUGCGAAAGCGUGGGGAUCAAACAGGAUUAGAUACCCUGGUAGUCCACGCCGUAAACGAUGAGUGCUAAGUGUUAGGGGGUUUCCGCCCCUUAGUGCUGCAGCUAACGCAUUAAGCACUCCGCCUGGGGAGUACGACCGCAAGGUUGAAACUCAAAGGAAUUGACGGGGACCCGCACAAGCGGUGGAGCAUGUGGUUUAAUUCGAAGCAACGCGAAGAACCUUACCAAAUCUUGACAUCCUUUGACAACUCUAGAGAUAGAGCCUUCCCCUUCGGGGGACAAAGUGACAGGUGGUGCAUGGUUGUCGUCAGCUCGUGUCGUGAGAUGUUGGGUUAAGUCCCGCAACGAGCGCAACCCUUAAGCUUAGUUGCCAUCAUUAAGUUGGGCACUCUAAGUUGACUGCCGGUGACAAACCGGAGGAAGGUGGGGAUGACGUCAAAUCAUCAUGCCCCUUAUGAUUUGGGCUACACACGUGCUACAAUGGACAAUACAAAGGGCAGCGAAACCGCGAGGUCAAGCAAAUCCCAUAAAGUUGUUCUCAGUUCGGAUUGUAGUCUGCAACUCGACUACAUGAAGCUGGAAUCGCUAGUAAUCGUAGAUCAGCAUGCUACGGUGAAUACGUUCCCGGGUCU